rnacentral:rRNA from 1 species
ACGGGUGAGUAACGCGUGGGAACGUACCUUUUGGUUCGGAACAACUCCGGGAAACUGGAGCUAAUACCGGAUAAGCCCUUCGGGGGAAAGAUUUAUCGCCGAAAGAUCGGCCCGCGUCUGAUUAGCUAGUUGGUGAGGUAAUGGCUCACCAAGGCGACGAUCAGUAGCUGGUCUGAGAGGAUGAUCAGCCACACUGGGACUGAGACACGGCCCAGACUCCUACGGGAGGCAGCAGUGGGGAAUAUUGGACAAUGGGCGCAAGCCUGAUCCAGCCAUGCCGCGUGAGUGAUGAAGGCCUUAGGGUUGUAAAGCUCUUUUGUCCGGGAAGAUAAUGACUGUACCGGAAGAAUAAGCCCCGGCUAACUUCGUGCCAGCAGCCGCGGUAAUACGAAGGGGGCUAGCGUUGUUCGGAAUCACUGGGCGUAAAGCGCACGUAGGCGGACCAUUAAGUCAGGGGUGAAAGCCUGGAGCUCAACUCCAGAACUGCCUUUGAUACUGAUGGUCUCGAGUAUGGAAGAGGUUGGUGGAACUGCGAGUGUAGAGGUGAAAUUCGUAGA